AAUGUCACAACUGCCUGCUUGCAUCAGAUAUUGAAAUUGCGGAGAAGAUUUAGUUAUUGAAAAGGCCCGAGUAGAGGGAUAGUGGGAGAAGCACCAUGUUCUGAGGACGAUUGCUUGGGCUGCUUGAUGAAUCAUUUCGAGCAUGAUCUGCCGAUUGAAUUGGGCUACUUCCUUUUGGAAAAUGAUGCGAUCUCGGAUUGGGCUUUUAUUGGGUCUAGAAUUGAAUAAGAUGAUGAGAUUGAGAGUGGUGGGAUCUCAAGACUUGGA